GACGAACUGCCCAAACGUUGUUCGGAAUCACUGGGCUUAAAGGGCGCGUAGGCGGCAGAUCAAGUCAGGGGUGAAAUCCGGCAGCUCAACUGUCGAAGUGCCUUUGAUACUGAUUUGCUCGAGGGAGAUAGGGGUCUGUGGAACUUCUGGUGGAGCGGUGAAAUGCGUUGAUAUCAGAAGGAACGCCGGUGGCGAAAGCGGGUCUCUGGACAGUUCCUGACGCUGAGGCACGAAGGCCAGGGGAGCAAACAGG
rnacentral:rRNA from 1 species